AACUCUUAUGGCCUGGAAUCCUUGCGUUUCUGCUGAUGACUGUCAUUUUAGAGUACUUACUAAAGACAAUGGUUGGGGAAAUAGAUAUUUUAAAAAUAAGGGAAAAAGUGGGUAGGGUAAACCCAGGCUUACUUAUGUAAACUCUGAGUGCUGAAGUUAGAAGACAACUUUUAAGAUUAAAAAAAAAAAAAAAAAAAAAGAUUUCUGGUAGCCGCCAGAAGCUAAGAACAGAUUCUCCCUCUGAGCCUCCAGAACCCAGAUGACACCUUGAUUUCAGACUUCUGGCCUCCAAAACUGUGAGAGAAGAAAUGUGUUGUUUUAAGGCACCCAGCUGGUGACAGUUCAUCACAGUAGCCACAGGAAACUAAUACCCAGCCCCAUGGCAGGCAUAGGUCAAGCCUGGCACAGUCUGGAUCUCAGUCCCUGACUCAGACCCUGGAUGCUCGCUGCCUUGUACAGAAACAACCUGCUCAACCAAACAGGGUGACCCUGCUGAAGCCGCAAAUGUCCAACAGUCCUGCCAACCGUGGAUGCUUCUGUAGCUUCCCUUUAGCUCUCCCUCCUGGCAUGAAACCAGACACAGACUACCCAGAAGAUGAACUGAGCACUCUGCAAUGGGCCCAGCACGCUGCUGCAUCUGAGACCAUCUUCUCGGCCCUAACAACCCUGGCAGGCUCUUCUCUCUGGUGGGGAAAUUGGGCUUAGGGAAAGGACAUCUUUAGGACAGUCAUCCCACCAAGUAGAAUGACUCUAUGCAGCCUGAAUACUGUUUCCCUGGGAGGAAAAAAAUCCAAAGCAUAAACUUUUAUAAGCUGUUUUAAUUAAAACACUCUUUGUAAAGUGAUGUAUUUGAAGCAAGGGAGGAGAAAGGUUUUCUGGCAAAAGUGUCUUUUGUGGUGUUUCUUUGGUGAGCAAAAGGAACUCAACUGAUGAAAACACCAAAGCACAAACAUUCUGUGGCCAGUAAAGUGGGUGGAGGGGGCAAUGGAGACAACCUCAGGUGGGGCCCAGCUUGUAACGCUGGCAGGGCUCUGUUAAUGUGCUCCAUAAAGGGCUUUGGAGGGCAGGAGGAGCACCACCAACAUUUUAAAUGUGAGGCCAACCAUAAAACGAUUCAUGAUUAGUCCACUAAAAUGUGUUUAUUGGCAAAUAGGAAAGAGAUCCCUGAAAAUAAGCAGGAACAGGUGAUUUUCAAGGCUGACUUAGGUCUCCUAUUCAGCUACUCAACAAUUAUAUCCGAGCUACGUGCAGUGGCUCACCCUGUAAUCCCAGCACUUUGGAGGCUGAGACAAGAGGCGAAAAGUUCGAGACCAGCCUGGGCAACCUAGCGAGACACCAUCUCUAUGAAAAAUUUAAAAAUUAGCCUAGCAUGUGUCUUGUGCCUGUGGUCCCAGCUACUCAGGAGGCUGAGGUGAGAGGAUCACUUGAGCCCCAGAGGUUGAGGUUACAGUGAGCUGUGAUCACACCACUGCACUCCAGUCUGGGUGACAGAGUGAGACACUGUCUCAAGAAAAAACAAAAAUUAAAACAAACAAUAACAACAACAACAACAACAAAAAAAAACGGCAAAGUUAGAACACACAAAAGAUAGUAUAGUUCCUUACCCAUCCACCACUUGGUUUUGAGGAGAAAAGGGAAGUAAGAAGAGUUGAAGAGAAGAAAAACAGAACAGAAGAGUGGGAAAGGAAGAUGAAAGGGUGCUAUGGAGUACUAUGCACCUGUUUAGAAGUGGGGAAGUAGCACAAACACUAGCAAAAGAAGAACCACCAUGGAGUUCCUCCUUGCACAUCUCUCUCCCCUCCUGAAGGCCUAGGGUGAGCCCACAGCAUUGUUCCAGCAGUGAGGGAGUCUUCACUGCCUCCUGAGACUCUCUCACGGCUCUUAAGAUACCUCCCUGAAGUCCCUCCAAAGAAUUCAAUGUGCCCCUAGUCUAAAUCAGUUUCCUCCAUCAUAAAUACUCAUAGAUGACGCAACAAUAAAGCGUUAAUAACGAUAAUGGCAA
ensembl:lncRNA novel transcript